GACGAACGCUGGCGGCGUGCUUAACACAUGCAAGUCGAACGGAAAGGCCCUGCUUUUGUGGGGUGCUCGAGUGGCGAACGGGUGAGUAACACGUGAGUAACCUGCCCUUUACUUUGGGAUAACUUCAGGAAACUGGGGCUAAUACCGGAUAGGAGCUCCUGCUGCAUGGUGGGGGUUGGAAAGUUUCGGCGGUUGGGGAUGGACUCGCGGCUUAUCAGCUUGUUGGUGGGGUAGUGGCUUACCAAGGCUUUGACGGGUAGCCGGCCUGAGAGGGUGACCGGCCACAAUGGGACUGAGAUACGGCCCAGAGUCCUACGGGAGGCAGCAGCGGGGAAUAUUGCACAAUGGGCGGAAGCCUGAUGCAGCAACGCCGCGUGCGGGAUGACGGCCUUCGGGUUGUAAACCGCUUUCGCCUGUGACGAAGCGUGAGUGACGGUAAUGGGUAAAGAAGCACCGGCUAACUACGUG
rnacentral:rRNA from 1 species